CCUACGGGUGGCAGCAGUGGGGAAUAGUGGACAAUGGGGGGAACCCUGAUCCAGCCAUGCCGCGUGUGUGAAGAAGGCCCUCGGGUUGUAAAGCACUUUCAGUGAGGAAGAACGCCUGGUGGUUAAUACCCAUCAGGAAAGACAUCACUCACAGAAGAAGCACCGGCUAACUCCGUGCCAGCAGCCGCGGUAAUACGGAGGGUGCGAGCGUUAAUCGGAAUUACUGGGUGUAAAGCGCGCGUAGGUGGCUUGAUAAGCCGGUUGUGAAAGCCCCGGGCUCAACCUGGGAACGGCAUCCGGAACUGUCAAGCUAGAGUGCAGGGGAGGAAGGUAGAAUUCCCGGUGUAGCGGUGAAAUGCGUAGAGGUCGGGAGGAAUACCAGUGGCGGAGGCGGCCUUCUGGACUGACACUGACACUGAGGUGCGAAAGCGUGGGUAGCAAACAGGAUUAGAUACCCUGGUAGUC
rnacentral:rRNA from 1 species